rnacentral:misc_RNA from 1 species
GACUUUAUAGACCUCCUCACCCAUCAAUCUCUUCUUCAAAUCAUCGCAAUACAUCAAUACCAGAGUCUCCAGGUACACCUCUACAUCAUCACACUCACUUAUCUCCACUGUAUGCAUAACUCCCUUCUCUCUGUCUCGUAACUUCUCCCUGAAGAAUCCACUUUUCUCUAUCAAAACCCAUUUAUGCGCAUCAAAUGAAACCCUAUACCCAUCUCUCCCAAUCACAGUAAGCCUCACAUCACCCAAUCCCAACCCACAAUUAUUCAAAUUGUCAAAUUCUUUUAAUAUUUUUGAUACUUUUGAUUGGGA